GCCCCCCAUUGCAGCUUUCCUUGUUCCCUGGCUGCUAGCGUCGACCUGAGGUCGGGAUUCUUUCCUGCUCUGAGACAGACCAGGUUCCUCCUCCGUAGCUUUUGUCUUUCUGUUGCCUGCGCCGUGUCCUGGACUGCUCACCGGAGUCCUGCAGGAGACCCCGGAAUAUCUGGAAGCUGAAAAAUGGAAAUAAAUGGAAAGAUCAGAAUAUUGAAGAUCACUACAGAAAUCUAAGAAGUCUUAUGCAAGAGACAGCCAAUGAAAGUACACAAGAAAAUCAUUUUGGAGAAACUUUUGCCUGUAUUUCAGAUGACAUGCUGAACAAGAAAACUUCUUUUGGAGUAAAAUCAUGGGAAAGCAGUGUGUAUGUAUGGAGAAGUCUUCAUUGGUCAUUCAUCCAUUAAUACACACGUUAGAGCUGACACUGGACACAAGGGAUCUGAGUUUCAGAAAUAUGGAGAGAAGCCAUAUAAAUGUCAACAACAUGAGAAAGCCUUCAAAUACCACCCCUCCUCUCCAGUAUAUGAAAGAGCUCACACUAGGGAGAAGCUGUAUAAAUGUAAGCAAUGUGGGAAGGCAUGAGGUGUCCCAGGUGUGUUCGUAGGCACGAAAAGACCCACUGUAGAAAAAAGCUCGAUGGAUGUAAACAGUGUGGGAAAGCAUUAUCUUAGAACCUUUCAGAGACAUGUGAGACUGCACACUGCAGAGAUACCUAGUAAAUGUAGGCUAUGUGAAAAAGCCUCCAGAUGUGCCUCACACCUUCCAACGACUCAUGGGAGGAAAACCCUGUGAAUGCAAAGUGUGGAAAGAAGUAAAAUCUGCCACAACCUUCGAAUACAUGUAAGGACACACACUGGAGAAGAACCCUAUCAGUGUAAGCAAUGUGGGAAAGCCUUCAGUUGUUCCAGUUCUGUUCAGUAUAGUGGAAGGACUCACACUGGAGAGAAACAUUGAGUGUAAACAAUGUGGUAAAGCCUACGUCUGCCACUUCACUUCGAUAUCAUGAAAGGACUCACACUGGAGAGAGAUGCUAUGAGUGUAAACAAUAUGAUAAAGCCUUCAUUUUUUUCUGCUUCCCUUCAGUGUCAUGAAAGGACUCACACUGGAGAGAAACCCUAUGAGUGUAAGCAAUGUGGCAAAUCCUUCAGUUCUUCCAGUUCCUUUCAAUACCAUGAAAGGAUUCACA